rnacentral:rRNA from 1 species
CAGCCGCCGCGGUAAUACGGAGGGUGCGAGCGUUAAUCGGAAUAACUGGGCGUAAAGGGCACGCAGGCGGUUAUUUAAGUGAGGUGUGAAAGCCCCGGGCUUAACCUGGGAAUUGCAUUUCAGACUGGGUAACUAGAGUACUUUAGGGAGGGGUAGAAUUCCACGUGUAGCGGUGAAAUGCGUAGAGAUGUGGAGGAAUACCGAAGGCGAAGGCAGCCCCUUGGGAAUGUACUGACGCUCAUGUGCGAAAGCGUGGGGAGCAAACAGGAUUAGAUACCCGUGUAGUCCCUGUCUCUUAUAC